AUUGAACGCUGGCGGCAUGCUUUACACAUGCAAGUCGAACGGCAGCGCGGGCUUCGGCCUGGCGGCGAGUGGCGAACGGGUGAGUAAUGCAUCGGAACGUGCCCAGUAGUGGGGGAUAGCCCGGCGAAAGCCGGAUUAAUACCGCAUACGACCUGAGGGUGAAAGCGGGGGACCGAAAGGCCUCGCGCUAUUGGAGCGGCCGAUGUCGGAUUAGCUAGUUGGUGGGGUAAAGGCUUACCAAGGCGACGAUCCGUAGCUGGUCUGAGAGGACGACCUGCCACACUGGGACUGAGUCACGGCCCAGACUCCUACGGGAGGCAGCAGUGGGGAAUUUUGGACAAUGGGGGCAACCCUGAUCCAGCCAUGCCGCGUGCGGGAAGAAGGCCUUCGGGUUGUAAACCGCUUUUGUUCGGGAAGAAAUCAUCUGGGCUAAUACCCCGGGGGGAGGACGGUACCGGAAGAAUAAGCACCGGCUAACUACGU
rnacentral:rRNA from 1 species